GGACUGCGCACGCGCGCGGUGGGGGAGGAGCCAAGGGCGGGACUAUGGGGAUGCCUGUGCUCCCAGCUCCUCCUGAACCCCAGCAGAGCUCCAAGGACACCCUCUGCGUUUGCUGACUUUCUUCCCAUGUUUGCCUUAACCUGGAGCUCUUUGUGGCCGUGGGUUUUCCAGUGCCUGAUGUGGCCGGGAGAGAAGAUGUUAACUGAGAGAUCCAGAUCCAUUCAUCCAGUGAACUAAUGUUAAAUA